CAACCCUCAAGCCCUGCUUGGUGUUGGGGUCCUACGGCUCUCCCGCCGUAGGCCCCUAAAUAUAGUGGCGGGCUCGCUAAAGUCCUGAGCGCAGUAGCACAUCUCGCUUGUGGUAUUUAGUGGGUGCCGGCCGUUAAACCCCCAAUUUUUAGAAGG
rnacentral:misc_RNA from 1 species